UGGGAGCUCUCCCNUAUGGUCGACCUGCAGGCGGCCGCGAAUUCACUAGUGAUUGCUACCUUGUUACGACUUGAGCCAGGAUCAAACACGGCUACCUUGUUACGACCUGAGCCAGGAUCAAACACGGCUACCUUGUUACGACCUGAGCCAGGAUCAAACACGGCUACCUUGUUACGACCUGAGCCAGGAUCAAACUCUAAUCGAAUUCCCGCGGCCGCCAUGGCGGCCGGGAGCAUGCGACGUCGGGCCCAAUUCGCCCUAUAGUGAGUCGUAUUACAAUUCACUGGCCGUCGUUUUACAACGUCGUGACUGGGAAAACCCUGGCGUUACCCAACUUAAUCGCCUUGCAGCACAUCCCCCUUUCGCCAGCUGGCGUAAUAGCGAAGAGGCCCGCACCGAUCGCCCUUCCCAACAGUUGCGCAGCCUGAAUGGCGAAUGGACGCGCCCUGUAGCGGCGCAUUAAGCGCGGCGGGUGUGGUGGUUACGCGCAGCGUGACCGCUACACUUGCCAGCGCCCUAGCGCCCGCUCCUUUCGCUUUCUUCCCUUCCUUUCUCGCCACGUUCGCCGGCUUUCCCCGUCAAGCUCUAAAUCGGGGGCUCCCUUUAGGGUUCCGAUUUAGUGCUUUACGGCACCUCGACCCCAAAAAACUUGAUUAGGGUGAUGGUUCACGUAGUGGGCCAUCGCCCUGAUAGACGGUUUUUCGCCCUUUGACGUUGGAGUCCACGUUCUUUAAUAGUGGACUCUUGUUCCAAACUGGAACAACACUCAACCCUAUCUCGGUCUAUUCUUUUGAUUUAUAAGGGAUUUUGCCGAUUUCGGCCUAUUGGUUAAAAAAUGAGCUGAUUUAACAAAAAUUUAACGCGAAUUUUAACAAAAUAUUAACGCUUNNNNUUCCUGAUGCGGUAUUUUCUCCNUACGCAUCUGUGCGGNNNUUCACACCGCANCNNNGGCACUUUUCGGGGAAAUG
rnacentral:rRNA from 1 species